rnacentral:rRNA from 1 species
UUCCCAGACUCCUACGGGAGGCAGCAGUAGGGAAUCUUCGGCAAUGGGGGGAACCCUGACCGAGCAACGCCGCGUGAGUGAAGAAGGUUUUCGGAUCGUAAAGCUCUGUUGUAAGAGAAGAACGUUAGCGGGAGUGGAAAAUCCGCUAAGUGACGGUACCUUACCAGAAAGGGACGGCUAACUACGUGCCAGCAGCCGCGGUAAUACGUAGGUCCCGAGCGUUGUCCGGAUUUAUUGGGCGUAAAGCGAGCGCAGGCGGUUUGAUAAGUCAGAAGUAAAAGGCUGUGGCUCAACCAUAGUACGCUUUUGAAACUGUCAAACUUGAGUGCAGAAGGGGGGAGUGGAAUUCCAUGUGUAGCGGUGAAAUGCGUAGAUAUAUGGAGGAACACCGGUGGCGAAAGCGGCUCUCUGGUCUGUAACUGACGCUGAGGCUCGAAAGCGUGGGGAGCGAACAGGAUUAGAUACCCGAGUAG